GACGAACGCUGGCGGCGUGCCUAACACAUGCAAGUCGAACGGAAAGGCCCUGAUUUUGUGCGGUGGUCGAGUGGCGAAGGGGGGAGUAACACGUGAGUAACCUGUACCUGACUGAGGGAUAAAUUCAGGAAAAUGGGGAUAAUACCGGAGAGGAUCUCUUGCUGCAUGGUGGGGGUUGGAGAGUUUCGGCGGUUGGGGAUGGACUCGCGGCUUAUCAGCUUGUUGGUGGGGUAGUGGCAUACCAAGGUUAUGACGGGUAGCCGGCCUGGGAGGGUGAACGGCCACAAUGGGCCUGCGAUACGGCGCAGACUCGAACCGGAGGCAGUGGUGGGGAGUAUUGCACAAUGGGCGGGAGUCUGAUGUAACAACGCCGCGUGCGGGAUGCCGUGUUUCGGGUGGUGAACCGAUGUCGCCUUAGACGAGGCGUGAGUGACGGUAACGGGUAAAGAAGCACCGGCUAACUACGUG
rnacentral:rRNA from 1 species